rnacentral:rRNA from 1 species
CAUUGUUGGAGAGUUUGAUCCUGGCUCAGGACGAACGCUGGCGGCGUGCUUAACACAUGCAAGUCGAACGAUGAAGCCGCUUCGGUGGUGGAUUAGUGGCGAACGGGUGAGUAACACGUGGGUAAUCUGCCCUGCACUCUGGGAUAAGCCUUGGAAAC